GGAUGUAUAGCACAAUGGUAGAGUGCAUGCCUGGCAUGCAUGAAAUCCUGGGUUUAAUCCCCAGUGCCUUCA
rnacentral:tRNA from 1 species